CCUACGGGAGGCAGCAGUGGGUAAUAUUGGACAAUGGGCGAAAGCCUGAUCCAGCCAUGCCGCGUGUGUGAAGAAGGCCUUCGGGUUGUAAAGCACUUUCAGUGGGGAAGAAAGCCUUGGGGCUAAUACCCUCGAGGAAGGACAUCACCCACAGAAGAAGCACCGGCUAACUCCGUGCCAGCAGCCGCGGUAAUACGGAGGGUGCGAGCGUUAAUCGGAAUUACUGGGCGUAAAGCGCGCGUAGGCGGUCUGAUAAGCCGGUUGUGAAAGCCCCGGGCUCAACCUGGGAACGGCAUCCGGAACUGUCAGGCUAGAGUGCAGGAGAGGAAGGUAGAAUUCCCGGUGUAGCGGUGAAAUGCGUAGAGAUCGGGAGGAAUACCAGUGGCGAAGGCGGCCUUCUGGACUGACACUGACGCUGAGGUGCGAAAGCGUGGGUAGCAAACAGGAUUAGAUACCCCUGUAGUC
rnacentral:rRNA from 1 species